UACGUAGGGUGCAAGCGUUGUCCGGAAUUAUUGGGCGUAAAGAGCUCGUAGGCGGUUUGUCGCGUCUGCUGUGAAAACUCGGGGCUUAACUCCGGGCCUGCAGUGGGUACGGGCAGACUAGAGUGCGGUAGGGGAGACUGGAAUUCCUGGUGUAGCGGUGAAAUGCGCAGAUAUCAGGAGGAACACCGGUGGCGAAGGCGGGUCUCUGGGCCGUAACUGACGCUGAGGCGCGAAAGCGUGGGGAGCAAACGGG
rnacentral:rRNA from 1 species